rnacentral:SRP_RNA from 1 species
GCUAGGCGUGGUGGCUCACGCCUGUAAUCCCAGCACUUUGGGAGGCUGAGGCGGGUGGAUCACCUGAGGUCAGGAGUUCAAGACCAGCCUGGCCAACAUGGUAAAACCCCGUCUCUA